UACAGAGACUGCAAGCGUUAUUCGGAAUUACUGGGCGUAAAGGGCGCGUAGGCGGCCUGUUAAGUCGAACGUGAAAUCCCCGGGCUCAACCCGGGAACUGCGUCCGAUACUGGCAGGCUUGAAUCCGGGAGAGGGAUGCGGAAUUCCAGGUGUAGCGGUGAAAUGCGUAGAUAUCUGGAGGAACACCGGUGGCGAAGGCGGCAUCCUGGACCGGCAUUGACGCUGAGGCGCGAAAGCCAGGGGAGCAAACGGG
rnacentral:rRNA from 1 species